rnacentral:rRNA from 1 species
ACGAACGUUGGCGGCGUGCUUAAUACAUGCAAGUCAACUGAAGCACGGGUAGCAAUAUCUGUGUGGAGGUGGCGCACGGGUGAGUAACACGUAGGUAAUCUGCCUAUAGGUCUGAAAUAACUCCGGGAAACCGGUGCUAAUGUCAGAUGAUGCAGCGGCUCGACAUCGAGACAGUUGUUAAACCUUCGGGGCCUAUAGAUGAGCCUGCGUCUGAUUAGCUAGUUGGCGGGGUAAUGGCCCACCAAGGCAUCGAUCAGUAGCUGGUCUGAGAGGAUGAUCAGCCACACUGGAACUGAGAUACGGGCCAGACUCCUACGGGAGGCAGCAGUAAGGAAUAUUGCUCAAUGGGAGAAAUCCUGAAGCAGCAACGCCGCGUGGGGGACGAAGGGCUUUUGCUUGUAAACCCCUGUAGCGAGAGAAAAAAUCUCCAUUCUAUGGAGGAUGAUGGUAUCUCGAAAGUAAGCGUCGGCUAACUACGU